ACACACUCUGCAAGGAGCUUCUCUCCAAACAGGAUCAUUAUGACUGGGGUCUCAGAGCCAUCAAGUCAGUGCUAGUGGUUGCAGGCUCACUAAAGCGAGAGGACAGGAACAAGCCUGAAGAGCAGGUGCUGAUGCGUUCCCUGCGGGACUUUAACCUGCCCAAGAUCGUGACCAGCGACGUUCCCAUAUUCCUGGGUCUGAUCAGU